rnacentral:rRNA from 1 species
GUACGGGGGGGCAAGCGUUGUUCGGAAUUACUGGGCGUAAAGGGCUCGUAGGCGGCCAACUAAGUCGGAUGUGAAAUCCCCAGGCUCAACCUGGGAACUGCAUCCGAUACUGGAUGGCUUGAAUUCGGGAGAGGGAUGCAGAAUUCCAGGUGUAGCGGUGAAAUGCGUAGAUAUCAGGAGGAACACCGAUGGCGAAGGCAGGUCUCUGGGCCAUAACUGACGCUGAGAAGCGAAAGCAUGGGGAGCGAACAGG